rnacentral:lncRNA from 1 species
UGCCUAGCAAACAAUAAAUACCAACACAAGUUGAUCAUUUCAUGUCAUAUCAAGCCAACAAACUAACAUCAACAUCUUAAUAAGUCAAAAUCAUGGUUCCCAUUUAGAUAUUUGCAUUCAAAUAAAGGUUAAUUUUAGAAUAUUUAUAGUAGGAUUCAUACGAAGGAGGAGCCUUGGUGUAAUAGUUAAAUAUGCUGCCAUGUGACCAGGAGGUCACGGGUUCGAGCCGUCGAAACAACCUAUUGCAAAAUGCAGGAUAAGCUUGUGUACAAUAGAACCUUGUGGUCCUGCCCUUCCACGGACCUUGUGCAUUGUAGGAGUUUAAUACAUUGGGCUGCCCUUUAAUAGUAGGAUUCAUACUAGUCAAAAGUAAUUGCCUUGUUAACUAGGAAAUGCUCUCCUCUAGUAAUGUCAAAUGCAACAACUGGUGAACCGCUGACUAUUUCUAGUAACACGACUCCAAAGCUAUAAACAUCUGAUUUGCGCGUUAAGUGUCCACUGAUGGUGUAUUCUGGAGAAAGAUAGCCUCUUAAGGGCAUAAGAUCAUGAGUUCAAGAAAAUUCACAACAUGAUCAGCACAACAAAAACGAGGAAGAACAACAUGAGUACACUUCAAAAUUCAGCAAAGAACAUAUAUCUACUGAUGUUAACUUACAAUGUUCCAGCUACUCGGGUACUAAUGUGUGACAUGUUCUCCGAAAAUAGCCUAGCCAAACCAAAAUCUGCAAUUUUUGGUGUAAAAUCCUCAUCAAGUAGUAUGUUGCUGGCUUUAAUAUCCCUAUGUACAACAUGUGGAUUCACUUCUUCAUGUAGAUAUGAAAGUCCCUUUGCUAUUCCUAUUGAAAUUUCUUUCCUUAGUUUCCAUGUAAAUUUACUUCUGUUUUGCUCCCCACCUGCUUAGUCAAAAUAAUUCAAUCAAGAAACAGCCUCAAGAUUUUGUUUAGUAUAACCGUGGUGUCUGAUGCAGCUUGCGCAAAAAGGGCAGCCCGGUACACAUAGUGAGAGUGCGGGUCCGGGAAACGGCCGGACCACAAGAGCCUAUUCUAUAUAGGCUUACCCUGCAUCUUACCAGUACAGGAAAAUAAAGAAAUUACCUAAGAAUGUUUGGGAAAGACUGUUAUUUUCCAUGUAAUCAUAGACUAAAAGUCUAUUUGCUCCAUCAACACAACAUCCUCUGAGGUUGACAAGGUUUUCAUGUUUAAUAUCAGACAAUGCAGCUAUCUCUGAUACAAAUUCCCUUUCACCUCGCAUUGAUUCCAAUUCAACAGAUAGAACUUUUACAGCCACAAAAAUUCCAUUUUGAAGCUUGCCCUUUUCAAGAAAAGCCACAAAAUAAACAUAAAAAAACAAUUAAUACUCAUCGAACAAACCAAAACUCACACCCCCUUUUUCUUUUUUCAACUCUUUUUUGGGGAAAAAGAAAGAUUUUGUUUUUAAUUUUAAAACUCACCUUGUAAACAGAACCAAAACCACCCUCUCCAAUUUUGUUUGAAGCUCUAAAUCCAUGAGUUGCAGCUUUCAAUCCUCUGAGGUUGACAAGGUUUUCGUGUUCAACAUCAGACAAUGCAGCUAUUUCUGAUACAAAUUCCCUUUCACCUCGCAUUGAUUCCAAUUCAACUGAUAGAACUUUU